UACGUAGGGUGCGAGCGUUGUCCGGAAUUAUUGGGCGUAAAGAGCUCGUAGGCGGUCUGUCGCGUCGGUCGUGAAAACCUGCAGCUUAACUGUGGGCGUGCGGUCGAUACGGGCAUGACUGGAGUUCGGCAGGGGAGACUGGAAUUCCUGGUGUAGCGGUGAAAUGCGCAGAUAUCAGGAAGAACACCGGUGGCGAAGGCGGGUCUCUGGGCCGAUACUGACGCUGAGGAGCGAAAGCGUGGGGAGCAAACAGG
rnacentral:rRNA from 1 species